GACGAACGCUGGCGGCGUGCCUAAUACAUGCAAGUAGGACGCAGUUGCGAAUGGGAGAGUAACGCGCAGGCAAAUACCUAUUAGAGGGGGAUAACUAUUGGACUCGAUAGCUAAUACCGCAUAAUAGUAGAUGGCUCUGCGUUGUAUUUGCUAGUAGGUCGGGUUAUGGCCUACCUAGGGAACGAUACAUAUCCGACCUGAGAGGGUUGUCCGCCACACUGGGACUGGAACACGGCCCCAACUCCUUCGGGAGGGAGCCAUAAGGAAUCUUCGGCAAUGGGGGGAACCCUGACCGGGCAACGCCGGGUUAGUGAAGAAGGUUUUCGGAUCGUAAAGCUCUGUUGUUAAGGGAGCGGUACUUAACCAGAAAGCGACGGCUAACUACGUGCCAGCCGCCGCGGUAAUAC
rnacentral:rRNA from 1 species